AGUGGACCUUCUUACCAGGAAAGGUCCAGGACAUAGAGCCCGUUGACCAACUAAGGUCGCAGGAGACGACACAGGCAGGCAAGCAAGCGUGCAUCCGCCAUUAUCUUUGGAGCUGCUAGAGGGAUCCCAUCAGAUGGGUUGGUUCGCAAUGUUUGGCCGAGGAUGCUUCUGUGGGCGUUAAUGCGUACAAAGGAAUGAAGUAUUUCUGGAAGGAGCUUUUUUCAUGAAGAGAUUUGUUGAAGUCAUAGGCAAACUCUGUCAAUGUAUGUAAGGAGCAUGGUCAGGCCCACUAUUGUGCAUUGAUUGUUUGGGACCCUGCUUGCAGUG